rnacentral:rRNA from 1 species
CCUACGGGAGGCAGCAGUGAGGAAUAUUGGUCAAUGGACGCAAGUCUGAACCAGCCAUGCCGCGUGCAGGAAGACGGCUCUAUGAGUUGUAAACUGCUUUUGUACGAGGGUAAACGCAGAUACGCGUAUCUUUCUGAAAGUAUCGUACGAAUAAGGAUCGGCUAACUCCGUGCCAGCAGCCGCGGUAAUACGGAGGAUUCAAGCGUUAUCCGGAUUUAUUUGGUUUAAAGGGUGUGUAGGCGGUCGGAUAAGUUCGAGGUGAAAUCCCGGGGCUCAACUUCGGACUUGCCUCUGAUAGUGUUCGGCUAGAGAGUAGUUGCGAGAGGCGGAAUGUAAGGUGUAGCGGUGAAAUGCGUAGGUA